rnacentral:misc_RNA from 1 species
GAAAUGCGAUAAGUAAUGUGAAUUGCAGAAUUCAGUGAAUCAUCGAAUCUUUGAACGCACAUUGCGCCCGCCAGUAUUCUGGCGGGCAUUCCUGUUCGAGCGUCAUUUCAACCAUCAAGCCCCCGGGCUUGUGUUGGGGACCUGCGGCUGCCGCAGGCCCCGAAAACCAGUGGCGGGCUCGCUGUCACACCGGGCGUAGUAGAUUUUUCGUCUCGCCCAGGGCGUGCUGCGGGUUCCGGCCGUUAAAAAGCCUCUCUUUUAACCCAAGGUUGACCUCGGAUCAGGUAGGAAGACCCGCUGAACUUAAGC